CUGGGUUAGUCGGGUCCUAAGCUGAGGCCGACAGGCGUAGGCGAUGGAUAACAGGUUGAUAUUCCUGUACCACCUAUAAUCGUUUUAAUCGAUGGGGGGACGCAGUAGGAUAGGCGAAGCGUGCGAUUGGAUUGCACGUCUAAGCAGUAAGGCUGAGUAUUAGGCAAAUCCGGUACUCGUUAAGGCUGAGCUGUGAUGGGGAGAAGACAUUGUGUCUUCGAGUCGUUGAUUUCACACUGCCGAGAAAAGCCUCUAGAUAGAAAAUAGGUGCCCGUACCGCAAACCGACACAGGUAGUCAAGAUGAGAAUUCUAAGGUGAGCGAGCGAACUCUCGUUAAGGAACUCGGCAAAAUGACCCCGUAACUUCGGGAGAAGGGGUGCUCUUUAGGGUUAACGCCCAGAAG
rnacentral:rRNA from 1 species